rnacentral:rRNA from 1 species
UACGGGGGGGGCAAGCGUUGUUCGGAAUUACUGGGCGUAAAGGGCGCGUAGGCGGUGCUCUAAGUCGGAUGUGAAAACUCUGGGCUCAACCCAGAGCCUGCAUCCGAAACUGGAGUGCUAGAGUUCUGGAGGGGGUAGCGGAAUUCCUGGUGUAGCGGUGAAAUGCGUAGAUAUUAGGAAGAACACCGGUGGCGAAGGCGGCCCACUGGAUCGGUACUGACGCUGAGGUGCGAAAGCGUGGGGAGCAAACAGG